GGAGCAUAUUAAUUAGGGGAGGAAAAGAAACUAACAAGGAUUUUCUUAGUAGCGGCGAGCGAAAAGAAAACAGUUUAGCACUAAGUCACUUUGUCUAUAUGGCAAAUGUGAGAUGCAGUGUAUGGAGCGUCAAUAUUCUAGUAUGAGAAAUUAACGAUUUAAUUAACGUAUAAAGUUAAUGAUUCUAGAUGAUAUUUCCAAAGAGUCGUGUUGCUUGAAAGUGCAGCACUAAGUGGGUGGUAAACUCCAUCUAAAACUAAAUAUAGCCAUGAGACCGAUAGUAAAGAAGUACCGUGAGGGAAAGUUGAAGAGAACUCUGAAUAGAUAGUUAAACAGUACGUGAAACUGCUUAGAGGUUAAGCCCGAUGAACCUGAAUACGAUGAAUAUAUGAUGAAUAUGGAAAAUUCAUCAAUAAAAUUGUAAUAUUUAAAUAUAUUAUGAGGAUAGUGUGCAUUUUUUCCAUAUAAGGACACUGUAAUCUAUUAGCAUAUACCAAAUGAUUAGCAUUGAUUUUUGUGUUUAUUAUAUGCACUUGUAUGAUUAACAAUGCGAAAGAUUCAGGAUACAUUCGGGACCCGUCUUGAAACUCGGACCAAGGAGUCUAACAUAUGUGCAAGUUAUUAGGAUAUAAACCUAAUAGCGUAAUUAAUGGGAUUAGUUUUCUAACUAUUUAUAGCUAAUUAACACAAUCCCGGGGCGUUCUAUAUAGUUAUGUAUAAUGUAUAUUUAUAUUAUUUAUGCCUCUAACUGGAACGUACCUUGAGCAUAUAUGCUGUGACCCGAAAGAUGGUGAACUAUACUUGAUCAGGUUGAAGUCACGGGAAACCCUGAUGGAAGACCGAGACAGUUCUGACGUGCAAAUCGAUUGUCAGAAUUGAGUAUAGGGGCGAAAGACCAAUCGAACCAUCUAGUAGCUGGUUCCUUCCGAAGUUUUCCUCAGGAUAGCUGGUGCAUUUUAAUAUUAUAUAAAAUAAUCUUAUCUGGUAAAGCGAAUGAUUAGAGGCCUUAGGGUCGAAACGAUCUUAACCUAUUCUCAAACUUUAAAUGGGUAAGAACCUUAACUUUCUUGAUAUAAAGUUCAAGGUUAUGAUAUAAUGUGCCCAGUGGGCCACUUUUGGUAAGCAGAACUGGCGCUGUGGGAUGAACCAAACGUAAUGUUACGGUGCCCAAAUUAACAACUCAUGCAGAUACCAUGAAAGGCGUUGGUUGCUUAAAACAGCAGGACGGUGAUCAUGGAAGUCGAAAUCCGCUAAGGAGUGUGUAACAAAUCACCUGCCGAAGCAACUAGCCCUUAAAAUGGUUGGCGCUUAAGUUGUAUACCUAUACAUUACCGCUAAAUUAGAUGAUUUAUAUUACUUGUGAUAUAAAUUUUGAAACUUUAGUGAGUAGGAAGGUACAAUGGUAGGCGUAUAAGUGUUUGGCGUAAGCCUGCAUGGAGCUGCCAUUGGUACAGAUCUUGGUGGUAGUAGCAAAUAAUCGAAUGAGACCUUGGAGGACUGAAGUGGAGAAGGGUAAAACAAAAAUGGCAAAUUAUAUAAACAAAGCGAAAAUAAUACACUUGAAUAAUUUUGAACGAAAGGGAAUAUGGUUCCAAUUCCGUAACCUGUUGAGUAUCCGUUUGUUAUUAAAUAUGGGCCUCGUGCUCAUCCUGGCAACAGGAACGACCAUAAAGAAGCCGUCGAGAGAUAUCGGAAGAGUUUUCUUUUCUGUUUUAUAGCCGUACUACCAUGGAAGUCUUUCGCAGAGAGAUAUGGAAGAUGGGCUAGAAGAGCAUGACAUAUACUGUUGUGUCGAUAUUUUCUCCUCGGACCUUGAAAAUUUAUGGUGGGGACACGCAAACUUCUCAACAGGCCGUACCAAUAUCCGCAGCUGGUCUCCAAGGUGAAGAGUCUAUGUCGAUAGAAUAAAGUAGGUAAGGGAAGUCGG
rnacentral:rRNA from 1 species